rnacentral:ribozyme from 1 species
CUCUUCUGUAUCUCGGCGGACAUCCGUUCGAUGCCCGGCUUUAUGGUCUACCUCAACCGGCUCAA